CAGUAGCCGCGGGAAUACAGAGGGUGCAAGCGUUAAUCGGAAUUACUGGGCGUAAAGCGCGCGUAGGUGGUUUGUUAAGUUGGAUGUGAAAUCCCCGGGCUCAACCUGGGAACUGCAUCCAAAACUGGCAAGCUAGAGUAUGGUAGAGGGUGGUGGAAUUUCCUGUGUAGCGGUGAAAUGCGUAGAUAUAGGAAGGAACACCAGUGGCGAAGGCGACCACCUGAACUGAUACUGACACUGAGGUGCGAAAGCGUGGGGAGCAAACAGGAUUAGAUACCCGCGUAGUCCCUGUCUCUUAUAC
rnacentral:rRNA from 1 species